GGCCGGUUAGCUCAGUGGUUUGAGUGUGGUGCUGAGAACAAUGACAACACCAAGGUCGCGGGUUCAAUUCCCGCUCUGUCCC
rnacentral:tRNA from 1 species